rnacentral:rRNA from 1 species
UCUUCUUGUUUUUAAAAGACCUAGCAAUAGGUAUGCUUAGGGAGGAGCUUGCGUCACAUUAGUUAGUUGGUGGGGUAAAGGCCUACCAAGACUAUGAUGUGUAGCCGGGCUGAGAGGUUGAACGGCCACAUUGGGACUGAGACACGGCCCAAACUCCUACGGGAGGCAGCAGUAGGGAAUUUUCGGCAAUGGAGGAAACUCUGACCGAGCAACGCCGCGUGAACGAUGAAGUAUUUCGGUACGUAAAGUUCUUUUAUUAGGGAAGAAUAAAUGAUGGAAAAAUCAUUCUGACGGUACCUAAUGAAUAAGCCCCGGCUAACUAUGUGCCAGCAGCCGCGGUAAUACAUAGGGGGCAAGCGUUAUCCGGAAUUAUUGGGCGUAAAGGGUGCGUAGGCGGUUAAAUAAGUUUAUGGUCUAAGUGCAAUGCUCAACAUUGUGAUGCUAUAAAAACUGUUUAGCUAGAGUAAGAUAGAGGCAAGUGGAAUUCCAUGUGUAGUGGUAAAAUGCGUAAAUAUAUGGAGGAACACCAGUAGCGAAGGCGGCUUGCUGGGUCUUUACUGACGCUGAGGCACGAAAGCGUGGGGAGCAAACAGGAUUAGAUACCCUGGUAGUCCACGCCGUAAACGAUGAGUACUAAACGUUGGGUAAAACCAGUGUUGAAGUUAACACAUUAAGUACUCCGCCUGAGUAGUACGUACGCAAGUAUGAAACUUAAAGGAAUUGACGGGACUCCGCACAAGCGGUGGAUCAUGUUGUUUAAUUCGAAGGUACCCGAAAAACCUCACCAGGUCUUGACAUGCUUCUGCAAAGCUGUAGAAACACAGUGGAGGUUAUCAGUUGCACAGGUGGUGCAUGGUUGUCGUCAGCUCGUGUCGUGAGAUGUUGGGUUAAGUCCCGCAACGAGCGCAACCCUUAUUGUUAGUUACCAGCACGUAAUGGUGGGGACUUUAGCAAGACUGCCAGUGAUAAAUUGGAGGAAGGUGGGGACGACGUCAAAUCAUCAUGCCCCUUAUGACCUGGGCUACAAACGUGAUACAAUGGCUGUUACAAAGGGUAGCUGAAGCGCAAGUUUUUGGCGAAUCUCAAAAAAACAGUCUCAGUUCGGAUUGAAGUCUGCAACUCGACUUCAUGAAGUUGGAAUCGCUAGUAAUCGCGAAUCAGCAUGUCGCGGUGAAUACGUUCUCGGGGUUUGUACACACCG